UGUGUCUGAGCUCCAACAUUGUUGGUGUGAU
rnacentral:piRNA from 1 species